CUACGGGGCGCAGCAGUAGGGAAUUUUCGGCAAUGGGGGAAACCCUGACCGAGCAAUGCCGCGUGAAUGAAGAAGGUCUUCGGAUUGUAAAGUUCUGUUAUUGGGAAAGAACACCUGGAUCAGGAAAUGGGUUCAGGUUGACGGUACCCGAUGAGAAAGCCCCGGCUAACUACGUGCCAGCAACCGCGGUAAUACGUAGGGGGCAAGCGUUAUCCGGAAUUAUUGGGCGUAAAGCGUGCGAAGGCGGUUUUUUAAGUCAGUCGUAAAAGAUCUCAGCCCAACUGAGUAGGGCGAUUGAAACUGGAAGACUUGAGUACGGUAGAGGUAAGUGGAAUUCCAUGUGUAGCGGUGGAAUGCGUAGAUAUAUGGAGGAACACCAAUGGCGAAGGCAGCUUACUGGGCCGGAACUGACGCUGAGGCACGAAAGCGUGGGGAGCAAACAGGAUUAGAUACCCGAGUAGUC
rnacentral:rRNA from 1 species